rnacentral:rRNA from 1 species
UACGGAGGGGACUAGCGUUGUUCGGAAUUACUGGGCGUAAAGCGCACGUAGGCGGAUUUGUAAGUCAGGGGUGAAAUCCCGGGGCUCAACCUCGGAACUGCCUUUGAUACUGCAAAUCUCGAGUCCGGAAGAGGUGAGUGGAAUUCCUAGUGUAGAGGUGAAAUUCGUAGAUAUCCGGAAGAACACCAGUGGCGAAGGCGGCUCACUGGCCCGGUACUGACGCUGAGGUGCGAAAGCGUGGGGAGCAAACAGG